rnacentral:misc_RNA from 1 species
UUGCCCCUAGCACCGGAUUCAAAAUAGAAAAUACUCUGAGCAUCCAUGAAUAGUAGUAAGCAACAUCAAGCAAUUCAAAGCUCCCAGAAGAUUCUGCUCCGCAUAAGGGUAAACUUUCAGCUUUCUGAAUGAGACCAUCUUUCUCCAACACUAAAAGUUCCAUCAAAUGUCUCUGCAGCCAAACAGGCUUAAAGAGGCUCAUGUACGACAUCUUUAAGGAUCCAAAAGUUGUCUCGACUUCAACAGAAUUUCCGUCACCUUGAACUUCUUGGUUCUCCUUUCUCACCCAUCCAGCACUUUCAAUCUGGUAUAAUAAUUUCUCCG